AGCAAGGUUCUGUUUAUCCAUAUCUUUAAAAAAUAAGUUUCUGGAAUCGUGCCUUUGACAUAGUUAUUUAUUUACAUUUUUUAAUCUAUGAAUUAUUUCUUCAAAUGACAUCUGUGAGACUGAAACAAGCGAGGAGUCCUGGUUUGAGACAGAUGUUAAAGGCUCUUCAGCUAUUAGCUCUCUGUUACCCCAGAGCACUGCGGAAUACUGUACAAAACGACAGGAGGCCAGCAUGACUAUCUUCUGAGAGGCUUCAUCCUACAGCUGAUGGAAUCAGAUGUAGAGACCCACAGUUAAAUAUUAGGUGGGGCUUGCUGAACCCUGAGGAAGAGGAAGAAGAAGGAUUAAAGGAGCCAGAAAGCUCCUAAAAUUGCUGAAAUCAUGGCCAUGGUGGACCUAGAAGUAAUCACUCAUGUUACCUCGAUUAUCCCUGUUCCCCGCCUACCUCUGUGCCCGGCUUCUUUCCCCAUCCUCUUUCAGAACUUGAA